UACGGAGGGUGCAAGCGUUAUCCGGAUUUACUGGGUUUAAAGGGUGCGUAGGUGGGUCUGUAAGUCAGUGGUGAAAUCUCCGGGCUUAACCCGGAAACUGCCAUUGAUACUAUAGAUCUUGAAUAUCCUGGAGGUGAGCGGAAUAUGUCAUGUAGCGGUGAAAUGCUUAGAUAUGACAUAGAACACCAAUUGCGAAGGCAGCUCACUACGGUAUCAUUGACACUGAGGCACGAAAGCGUGGGGAGCAAACAGG
rnacentral:rRNA from 1 species